GUAGGGUGCAAGCGUUAAUCGGAAUUACUGGGCGUAAAGCGUGCGCAGGCGGGGUUUGUAAGUCUGACGUGAAAUCCCCGGGGCUUAACCUGGGAAUUGCGUUGGAGACUGCAAGGCUGGAGUCUGGCAGAGGGGGUAGAAUUCCACGUGUAGCAGUGAAAUGCGUAGAGAUGUGGAGGAACACCGAUGGCGAAGGCAGCCCCCUGGGUCAAGACUGACGCUCAUGCACGAAAGCGUGGGGAGCAAACAGGAUUAGAUACCCUGGUAGUCCACGCCCUAAACGAUGUCUACUAGUUGUCGGGUCUUAAUUGACUUGGUAACGCAGCUAACGCGUGAAGUAGACCGCCUGGGGAGUACGGUCGCAAGAUUA
rnacentral:rRNA from 1 species